rnacentral:lncRNA from 1 species
CUAUAACUUAAAUUCACUUUUUUAAAUCUACAUUCUGCCUCAUGGCUCCGUACCUCAUCUCCAUCCUGCACUUCCUGCUCCCCCUGCAUCUUGCUGGGGCAUCUGCCUCUCUUCCCAAAGUUCUCUCUAGGCAGAAGUCCACCUAUCUUCUCUUGCCCAGCUUUUACUGCACGAAUCACAGCAGCACACUUCACACAGUGCACAAAUAUCCCAGAACACGGGUCCUCCUCAAGAACAGUUCAAGCUCACAGGGUGGGAGAGCGCCACUGAAACAGACAGAGAACAAAAGUGAAAGAGAAAGGAGGCCAACGCCCCCGGGGGCUGUGCAGGAAAAGCCGGCAGGAAAUGAGACAGACUGAAACUGGAUUCUCGAGUUCUCUGCAGGAUUAACUCACGUGCCCAGCGAGGGCACUGGGAAACACAGUGGCUUCCUGCUCACCCGUCCUGUCCCCAAGCAGCCUCUCUAUAUGGCUAGGCUAGGACAAAAAAUGUGCCAGUUGAAAACAGCAUGGUGGUCUCAAGGUAGUCUAGCUGUUGUGUCGUCUCAGGGUUCUCUGAAGAAGGCACAUCCAAAGAGAGCCAAUGA